rnacentral:rRNA from 1 species
AUUGAACGCUGGCGGCAUGCCUUACACAUGCAAGUCGAACGGCAGCACGGGUGCUUGCACCUGGUGGCGAGUGGCGAACGGGUGAGUAAUAUAUCGGAACGUACCUUAUCGUGGGGGAUAACGCAGCGAAAGCUGCGCUAAUACCGCAUACGCCCUGAAGGGGAAAGCGGGGGACCGUAAGGCCUCGCGCGAUUAGAGCGGCCGAUAUCUGAUUAGCUUGUUGGUGGGGUAAAGCCACCAAGGCGACGAUCAGUAGCUGGUCUGAGAGGACGAUCAGCCACACUGGGACUGAGACACGGCCCAGACUCCUACGGGAGGCAGCAGUGGGGAAUUUGGACAAUGGGGGCAACCCUGAUCCAGCAAUGCCGCGUGAGUGAAGAA